rnacentral:tRNA from 1 species
AAAUCCGUCGACUUUAUAAGCGUGAGGGUUCAAGUCCCUCUAUCCCCAAAC